GCGGAAGCAAAGUAAUUUAAAACUAAUAUUGCCCUCAUUUCAAAUACAUGCCAGUAUCUAGGUCAACUCCAACAAAAGCAACAUAGAUGAGGUAACUAAGAAGGAUCAUGCCCAUGAUCGCACUCCUCCACUACGGUAGGAGUCAUCCAACUCUUGCAGUAGCCAUGAUACAUCACAACCUGCAACAAGUGGGAAUAAACCCUGAGUACGAGAAGGUACUCAGCUAGACUUACCCGUCAGAAACCAGAAAUAAUUUGACACCAAGGAGUAUGCAAGGCUUUAUUGGUGGGGCUAGCUUGACAACACUUUUUGCAUAAAAAGCUUAAGUUACAGGUAAGUAACUUUUCAUGUAUUUAGCUCAAGUUAAUAAUCAUUACCUGUCAUCUAUAUUAGCACCUGUACUAGAGCAAUCACUUGAUUAAGAUACAACAGUAGUACCCAUAUU
rnacentral:lncRNA from 1 species